GGCGGCGUGCUAAUACAUGCAAGUCGAGCGGACAGAUCGGGAGCUUGCUCCCUGAUGUUAGCGGCGGACGGGUGAGUAACACGUGGGUAACCUGCCUGUAAGACUGGGAUAACUCCGGGAAACCGGGGCUAAUACCGGAUGCUUGAUUGAACCGCAUGGUUCAAUUAUAAAAGGUGGCUUUUAGCUACCACUUACAGAUGGACCCGCGGCGCAUUAGCUAGUUGGUGAGGUAACGGCUCACCAAGGCAACGAUGCGUAGCCGACCUGAGAGGGUGAUCGGCCACACUGGGACUGAGACACGGCCCAGACUCCUACGGGAGGCAGCAGUAGGGAAUCUUCCGCAAUGGACGAAAGUCUGACGGAGCAACGCCGCGUGAGUGAUGAAGGUUUUCGGAUCGUAAAACUCUGUUGUUAGGGAAGAACAAGUACCGUUCGAAUAGGGCGGUACCUUGACGGUACCUAACCAGAAAGCCACGGCUAACUACGUGCCAGCAGCCGCGGUAAUACGUAGGUGGCAAGCGUUGUCCGGAAUUAUUGGGGCGUAAAGCGCGCGCAGGCGGUUUCUUAAGUCUGAUGUGAAAGCCCCCGGCUCAACCGGGGAGGGUCAUUGGAAACUGGGGGAACUUGAGUGCAGAAGAGGAGAGU
rnacentral:rRNA from 1 species